AUAGGUUAGGGUCACAUGGUAGGGCAAGCACUGACUCACAGGCGGGGCUUCAGUGAUGUCACUACCUGUGGGAAAUUGGUAAAUUACACCCGUCCUCUCAAUCAGGAGACACAGACACAAUUGGGUUUUGAGGCCUGCUGGAGAAGCAUGGCCAAAGUUCUCCCCUUCCGUUUGUAGCCACAUGAACUGUGGCAUUAGGACAACCUUUUGCGUUGGAUUACUUUUGGAUUUUACAGCACUUUAAAGAUAAAGAAAAAACUUGAACUUAAAAGCCAAAACAGCUUGGGCUGGUCCAGCUACACAGAGGAGUACCGGGCAGGGAGUGCCAGUACGCCACAGAGUUUUCCUGCGGCCCGCUCCCCAUCCAGCGUUUGGCGCGGGGAGCCGUCUGAUGUUUGCCGCUGGCCUGGAGGUUUUAAUUAGGGCCUAAUGAAACCAGACGGAGGAGACCACAGAGUCUAAUGAAGCGUCAAGGAUCCAACAAAAGCAGGAGACGGGGAAUGUCCUAAUGCUACCUGACAGCACCAUCUCACACACACAAACACACACUUCACACAUGCGUGUACUCAAACCUGGCCAUACCUACAUGAACAAUCAUUUACGCCUGGGUGACCAAUCACACAUGAGGAAGGUGGCGUGUUCACGUCCAUCCUCACCCUCACACAAAAAGGAACUCAAAGGCAAAUUAGGAAUCAGUCAGGUUUAUGAACUUGUGCUGAAUGGUAAGAUUCUGGAAGGUUGAAUUCUACUAAAAGUAUAUUUUGGACAGAGCAACAUUAAGUCCUUCCUUGUCUAAACUCCUACUGGCAAACAAGAAAAACAUCAAGCAGAGGCUUUAUACCAUACUCUUAUGUAUGUGCCAUUGGUCUAGAAGCUUAGAUAUUCAAUUCCUUGCAUAGCCAUCAGUGUGUGUGAGUGUGUGUGGGUGAAUGUGAGGCAUGACAUGGAAAAGCGCUUUGGGUGCUCGGAGUAGUUGAUUAAAGCGCUAUAUAAAUGCAGUCCAUUUACCAUACUGCCAUAUGACAAUAAGUGUGCUCAUAGGUAGUAAACUAUUGUGGUGAACUUGCCUGGAAGGAGUCGGAAGGCGAAUCUCAGCUUCACAUCAUGUAAUCAAACUGAGAAUGGUAGCCUACUACAGACCAGUUUUUUCAUUAAAGUUGUACAUUUAAUCUAAAACUGUUUUUAAUUAAGAAGUUGUGUCGUUAAUGCAUUUAAAAACACCACUCUAGCCUAGUUCAUGUGCCUGAAUAAAAAAAUUCCAUGGGUGGCACAUCGAGAACCACUGACGUAGGGCAAGACUACAUAAAGUUCAGUCCAGGGCCAGGCCAUCAUUUCUGUUAUGUUUGGUUGGCCUUUAGCUUUUUUACAGAGGCCUGUAGAAAUCCACGUCCACAUUAAGCAAUGCAUGGAGUAUUUAGCAUCUAAGCUCACAAAUUCAAAAAGAAA